UACACUCCUGCGGGAGGCAGCAGUGGGGAAUAUUGCACAAUGGGCGCAAGCCUGAUGCAGCCAUGCCGCGUGUAUGAAGAAGGCCUUCGGGUUGUAAAGUACUUUCAGCGGGGAGGAAGGCGAUAAGGUUAAUAACCUUGUUGAUUGACGUUACCCGCAGAAGAAGCACCGGCUAACUCCGUGCCAGCAGCCGCGGUAAUACGGAGGGUGCAAGCGUUAAUCGGAAUUACUGGGCGUAAAGCGCACGCAGGCGGUCUGUCAAGUCGGAUGUGAAAUCCCCGGGCUCAACCUGGGAACUGCAUUCGAAACUGGCAGGCUAGAGUCUUGUAGAGGGGGGUAGAAUUCCAGGUGUAGCGGUGAAAUGCGUAGAGAUCUGGAGGAAUACCGGUGGCGAAGGCGGCCCCCUGGACAAAGACUGACGCUCAGGUGCGAAAGCGUGGGGAGCAAACAGGAUUAGAUACCCUAGUAGUCCCAUGA
rnacentral:rRNA from 1 species